rnacentral:lncRNA from 1 species
UGUUGUUGUAGUUUGGUCAGGAUGUGGCAGAGGGUAUUUGUUUUAUAUGGUUCGGGGUGGUGGUGUAGGUAGUAGGUUGUUUUAUUUAUGUAUUCCAGGGGUUUUGGGCACUGCUCUGUGUUUAUGUAUUUCUAGGUUUAGUUAGUUAGUUGUGGGUAUAGGUUCUAGGUUUGUUUUCUAUGUAGAGUUAAUUGGGAUUGGACUCCCAAUUGAAGGCAGGUGUGUUGAGUUGCCUUUGAUUGGGAGUCCUAUAUUAGUAGGGUGUGUUUGUCUGUGUGUUUGUGGGUAAUUGUUUGUGAGCACCGCUUGUUUAGCCUGCCACACUGGUUGGUCGAGAUCAAGUCAAGAGACACAAGAUGAACCUGUUCACCCAGCAAACUGUGAUGCUUUGGCUCUGUGUUGCUCGUACACUCACGACGGCAGAGCUGGUGAAGCUAAGCACUGUUGACUCUGUCAUUGUGUGGUGUCACCAGAGUGUCCGCCUCCAAUGUAACAUCUCCACCUCCCAGGAGGGACUGUUGAUCAAACAUCUGGCCUGGGUCCGCCAGGACGGGAAGCACCUGUGUGAUGUUAACGGAACUGAAGUGACCGGGACCCACCCAGGGAGCACAACUAGUGCUAUGGAGUGUAGUUAUACCCCACAGACACAGCUGUCCCUGACUCUGCUGCAGGUACGACCACUGGAUCAGGGAAAGUACUUGUGCAAGCUGCGCUCCAGUCAUGGAGUAAAGGAGGCCACUACAAUGGUGAAGCUGCAAGAGUCCUACAAGGAGGCCCAGCCCAGUAUCAGUGAUGAGGGCCCAACCUGCACCUUCACUGGGGUCUAUCCUGAUGGCGAGGUGCACUGGUUCCAGGGACCCAACAACGUGACUGGGGACUCUACAAUCAACACUAAACAAGUGGAAGAUGGAGCGUCAUUGACUAUAACUAGUUCCCUGAAAAGAAAGACAGUCUCUGGGGAAGAGGCCUACAACUGCUCCCUGUGGAUCCCCAGUACCGGAUCCUACCUGACCAGCAGCUUAGUGGUACCAGAGCAUGAUAAAGCCAGGGUUGCGCAGCCCAAUGCCAGUGGGUCAGGGUCCAUUGGUCCUUUGUGGAAACCUUUUCUAGUCCUCCUGAGUACUCUCUUCCUGGUGUGACGUCUUGAAAACAAACAUGAACAAAUUGACAAGCAAGUGCCAGGAUCAUUUAAUAAGAAUAUGGAAGAGCCAUUGUGUGAGGUUCCUUUCAUGGUCCAAAGGUUUCCUUGGCUGCGUAGAACAAGGAAAUGAUGAACAGAUGAGAGAGGCUGAUCAACCUAUUGUGAACGCACCCUUGUUGGUCUGCCAGUGCCAGAUAUAAAUGAUUGUUAAUUAAAAACUGCAAACGGCAGUAGAAACAGUAACAAAGCUUACUUCCUGCCAGUUUUGGUAAAAAAUUGAGGGAUGGGGCUGGAGAAAUGUAACCACUCUCAAAUUCAUAGACGCGCUUUGGAUGCAUGGACUGACCAUCCAUGAUAUCAAAAUAAUAGUUUUAACAAUGUUUUGAGGCUAUAUAGUGUUUUAUUAAAUUGGAGUUGAACAAGCUUCUGAUGGGGUAAGAGAGUUGCACUAAGCUCAUGAGGCAUUUAUAAGUUACAUUCUUCAAGAAUUAAUGUGUACAUAUUAAAAAAAUGAUGUGACAACUACUGAUUGCCCCUUUAAGGGCGUGACCUUUUGUAGAAAAGCCUUCCUGUUUGCGUUAAUCAGAGAGAUCCCCUUGGACAGGAGCGGUGGUUUAACUGGGUUGAUUUUUUUUGUUGUUGAUUUUUUAAGUACAAUGGUAAAUGUAGUGUUUGCUGGCGCCCAUAGUCCACCUAGACACAUCCUCCGUGAGUGUUGUAACACCAACGUUUAACUGAAUGAGAAUUGUGAGAAAUGUAUUGUUAGUAAUGUUUGUUUGUGAGGUGAUAUUCCUGCUUAGGAUGGAUGUAAAUAAAUGGCUGCAUCCUGAUUAUCCCAUGCUCCACUCCUUGAUACAAAGAACCUGUGUGUUUUAGAUUUAGUCCUGAGGACCUCCUCUCGCCAAUAAAAAAAAAAAAAAAAAAAAAGGUGACGUAGGACUGCUACAGGAAUUGAACAUUUUGUGUAAACUCUCCCGCACUACAGUUGGCGUAGUCUGGUAACCCUAGUUGGGAGUUGUUACAUCUCGGCGGAUAGUCUGCAGCGAUGGACAUGACUCUACC